rnacentral:rRNA from 1 species
ACACGGAGGGUGCAAGCGUUACUCGGAAUCACUGGGCGUAAAGCGCGCGCAGGCGGUCUUUUAAGUUGGAUGUGAAAGCCUACGGCUCAACCGUAGAACUGCAUCCAAAACUAUUAGACUAGAGUGUGGGAGAGGAAGAUGGAAUUAGUUGUGUAGGGGUAAAAUCCGUAGAGAUAACUAGGAAUACCAAAAGCGAAGGCAAUCUUCUGGAACACUACUGACGCUGAGGCGCGAAAGCGUGGGGAGCAAACAGGAUUAGAUACCCUAGUAGUCC